rnacentral:rRNA from 1 species
AUUGAACGCUGGCGGCAUGCUUUACACAUGCAAGUCGAACGGCAGCGCGGGCUUCGGCCUGGCGGCGAGUGGCGAACGGGUGAGUAAUGCAUCGGAACGUGCCAGUUGUGGGGGGUAGCCCGGCGAAAGCCGGAUUAAUUCCGCAUACGAACUUGGGGGGGAAGCGGGGGGCCGAAAGGCCCCGCGCUAUUGGAGCGGCCGAUGUCGGAUUAGCUAGUUGGUGGGGUAAAGGCUUACCAAGGCGACGAUCCGUAGCUGGUCUGAGAGGACGACCAGCCACACUGGGACUGAGACACGGCCCAGACUCCUACGGGAGGCAGCAGUGGGGAAUUUUGGACAAUGGGGGCAACCCUGAUCCAGCCAUGCCGCGUGCGGGAAGAAGGCCUUCGGGUUGUAAACCGCUUUUGUUCGGGAAGAAAUCCUCUGGGCUAAUACCCCGGGGGGAUGACGGUACCGGAAGAAUAAGCACCGGCUAACUACGUG